AUUGAACGCUGGCGGCAGGCCUAACACAUGCAAGUCGAGCGGAGCGGCGGACGGGUGAGUGAUGCCUAGGAAUCUGCCUGGUAGUGGGGGAUAACGUCCGGAAACGGGAGCUAAUACCGCAUCCUAUCAGAUGAGCAUAGGUGGGAUUAGCUAGGUGGUGGGGUAAAGGCCUACCAAGGCGACGAUCCGUAGCUGGUCUGAGUGGAUGAUCAGUCACACUGGAACUGAGACACGGUCCAGACUCCUACGGGAGGCAGCAGUGGGGAAUAUUGGACAAUGGGCGAAAGCCUGAUCCAGCCAUGCCGCGUGUGUGAAGAAGGUCUUCGGGUUGUAAAGUACUUUCAGCGGGGAGGCGUUACCCGCAGAAGAAGCACCGGCUAACUCCGUGCCAGCAGCCGCGGUAAUUC
rnacentral:rRNA from 1 species